UACAGAGGGUGCAAGCGUUACUCGGAAUUACUGGGCGUAAAGCGCACGUAGGCGGUUUUUUAAGUCAGGUGUGAAAGCCCCGGGCUCAACCUGGGAAUUGCAUUUGAAACUGGGGAACUAGAGUGUGUGAGAGGGGGGUAGAAUUCCAAGUGUAGCGGUGAAAUGCGUAGAGAUUUGGAGGAAUACCAGUGGCGAAGGCGGCCCCCUGGCACAACACUGACGCUCAGGUGCGAAAGCGUGGGGAGCAAACAGG
rnacentral:rRNA from 1 species